GACGAACGCUGGCGGCGUGCUUAACACAUGCGAGUCGAACGGAAAGGCCCUGCUUUUGUGGGGUGCUCGAGUGGCGAACGGGUGAGUAACACGUGAGUAACCUGCCCCUGACUUUGGGAUAACUUCAGGAAACUGGGGCUAAUACCGGAUAGGAGCUCCUGCUGCAUGGUGGGGGUUGGAAAGUUUCGGCGGUUGGGGAUGGACUCGCGGCUUAUCAGCUUGUUGGUGGGGUAGUGGCUUACCAAGGCUUUGACGGGUAGCCGGCCUGAGAGGGUGACCGGCCACAGUGGGACUGAGAUACGGCCCAGACUCCUACGGGAGGCAGCAGUGGGGAAUAUUGCACAAUGGGCGGAAGCCUGAUGCAGCAACGCCGCGUGCGGGAUGACGGCCUUCGGGUUGUAAACCGCUUUCGCCUGUGACGAAGCGUGAGUGACGGUAAUGGGUAAAGAAGCACCGGCUAACUACGUG
rnacentral:rRNA from 1 species